GAUGAACGCUAGCGGCAGGCUUAAUACAUGCAAGUCGAGGGGCAGCAUGACUGUAGCAAUACAGUUGAUGGCGACCGGCAAACGGGUGCGGAACACGUACGCAACCUACCCAAAACUGAUGAAUAGCCCUCCGAAAGGAGGAUUAAUACAUCGUAACAUAAUGAAGUGGCAUCGCUUUAUUAUUAUAGCUCCGGCGGUUU
rnacentral:rRNA from 1 species